GUGGGGAAUCUUCCGCAAUGGACGAAAGUCUGACGGAGCGACGCCGCGUGAGUGAAGAAGGCCUUCGGGUCGUAAAGCUCUGUCAUCAGGGACGAACGGCCGGUGGAGUGGAAAGCCACCGGAUUGACGGUACCUGAGAAGGAAGCCACGGCUAACUACGUGCCAGCAGCCGCGGUAAUACGUAGGUGGCAAGCGUUGUCCGGAAUUAUUGGGCGUAAAGCGCGCGCAGGUGGGAUCUUAAGUCCAUUUUGAAAGUUCGGAGCUCAACUCCGUGAUGGGAAGGAAACUGGGAUUCUUGAGUACCGGAGAGGAAAGCGGAAUUCCCCGUGUAGCGGUGAAAUGCGUAGAUAUGGGGAGGAACACCAGUGGCGAAGGCGGCUUUCUGGACGGUGUCUGACACUGAGGCGCGAAAGCCAGGGGAGCGAACGGGAUUAGAAACCCUGGUAGUCC
rnacentral:rRNA from 1 species